rnacentral:tRNA from 1 species
GAUAUAGCUCAGUGGUACAGCACUUGCCUAGCAUGGUUGAGGCUCUGGGUUCAAUCUCCAGCAUAUCA